AGAUUUCUUUUCUGUUGGUGCAAACAGAGUAAAUGAAUAACAGGAAUCAGAGUUGAAUCCAACUGAACAAAUCAACACCAGGGUGAGGAUGUGGGAAGAGAAAGGAAAGUAGGCACUGGAGCAGACUAUGCUGCAAAACAUUCACUUUCACAACUGUAACAGAAGACUCACAAGCACCAUAGGUUCACACCAUGGUGUACUUGAUGUGCUACUGCAGCCAGCCUGGGCCCCAUCUGCCAAGGUCCUGCAACUGGAAUAUCAACAAAGGGGAAACAUAGAAGCAUGAACAAGAGCAACUACUCAAUGACAUAUCAUCAUU